rnacentral:rRNA from 1 species
AGAGUUUGAUCAUGGCUCAGAUUGAACGCUGGCGGCAGGCUUAACACAUGCAAGUCGAACGGUAACAGGGAGAAGCUUGCUUCUUUGCUGACGAGUGGCGGACGGGUGAGUAAUGCUUGGGAAUCUGGCUUAUGGAGGGGGAUAACUACGGGAAACUGUAGCUAAUACCGCGUAAUAUCUUCGGAUUAAAGGGUGGGACUUUCGGGCCACCUGCCAUAAGAUGAGCCCAAGUGGGAUUAGGUAGUUGGUGGGGUAAAGGCCUACCAAGCCGACGAUCUCUAGCUGGUCUGAGAGGAUGACCAGCCACACUGGAACUGAGACACGGUCCAGACUCCUACGGGAGGCAGCAGUGGGGAAUAUUGCACAAUGGGGGGAACCCUGAUGCAGCCAUGCCGCGUGAAUGAAGAAGGCCUUCGGGUUGUAAAGUUCUUUCGGUGAUGAGGAAGGUGUUUGUUUUAAUAGAACAAGCAAUUGACGUUAGUCACAGAAGAAGCACCGGCUAACUCCGUGCCAGCAGCCGCGGUAAUACGGAGGGUGCGAGCGUUAAUCGGAAUGACUGGGCGUAAAGGGCACGCAGGCGGUGACUUAAGUGAGAUGUGAAAGCCCCGAGCUUAACUUGGGAAUUGCAUUUCAUACUGGGUCGCUAGAGUAUUUUAGGGAGGGGUAGAAUUCCACGUGUAGCGGUGAAAUGCGUAGAGAUGUGGAGGAAUACCGAAGGCGAAGGCAGCCCCUUGGGAAUAUACUGACGCUCAUGUGCGAAAGCGUGGGGAGCAAACAGGAUUAGAUACCCUGGUAGUCCACGCUGUAAACGCUGUCGAUUUGGGGAUUGGGCUUUAAGCUUGGUGCCCGUAGCU